rnacentral:rRNA from 1 species
UACGUAGGGUGCAAGCGUUGUCCGGAAUUAUUGGGCGUAAAGAGCUCGUAGGCGGUCUGUCGCGUCGGCUGUGAAAACUCGGGGCUCAACUCCGAGCUUGCAGUCGAUACGGGCAGGCUAGAGUUCGGCAGGGGAGACUGGAAUUCCUGGUGUAGCGGUGAAAUGCGCAGAUAUCAGGAGGAACACCGGUGACGAAGGCGGGUCUCUGGGCCGAUACUGACGCUGAGGAGCGAAAGCGUGGGGAGCGAACAGG